rnacentral:rRNA from 1 species
AGAGUUUGAUCAUGGCUCAGAAUCAACGCUGGCGGCGCGCUUAACACAUGCAAGUCGAACGGGAAAGUGGAGCAAUCCAUGAGUAUAGUGGCGUACGGGUGAGUAACACGUGGGUAUCUAACUCUUAGUGGGGAAUAACGCUGGGAAACCGGCGCUAAUACCGCAUAAGCUCGAGAGAGGAAAGCAGCAAUGCGCUGAGAGAGGAGCCCGCGGCCGAUUAGCUAGUUGGCAGGGUAAAGGCCUACCAAGGCAGAGAUCGGUAGCCGGCCUGAGAGGGCACACGGCCACACUGGCACUGAAACACGGGCCAGACUCCUACGGGAGGCAGCAGUGGGGAAUCUUGCACAAUGGGGGCAACCCUGAUGCAGCGACGCCGCGUGAGCGAUGAAGCCCUUCGGGGUGUAAAGCUCUUUCGUCAGGGAAGAUAAUGACGGUACCUGGAGAAGCAGCUGCGGCUAACUACGUGCCAGCAGCCGCGGUAAUACGUAGGCAGCGAGCGUUGUUCGGAGUUACUGGGCGUAAAGGGUGUGUAGGCGGUUCUUUAAGUUUGGUGUGAAAUCUCCCGGCUCAACCGGGAGGGUGCGCCGAAUACUGAGGGACUAGAGUACGGGAGAGGAAAGUGGAAUUCCUGGUGUAGCGGUGAAAUGCGUAGAUAUCAGGAGGAACACCGGUGGUGUAGACGGCUUUCUGGACCGUAACUGACGCUGAGACACGAAAGCGUGGGUAGCAAACAGGAUUAGAUACCCUAGUAGUCC